rnacentral:tRNA from 1 species
GACCGUGAGGGUUCGACUCCCUCUAUCCCCA